UUCAGCAUCUCAAGACCACGGAUGACAUUUGUUUUGCCAGCAUCUGGUAUAGAGUUGGCUGAGCUGCUGCAGACAAGUAACAAAUGUUUACUAACUGAAUGAACUAAGGAAACCAUGCUCCUCAUAGAUGGCACAGAGUUUCUCACCAACCACCUAAACAACGCCCUUGCAGAAUGAUCAGGUCUCCUUGGAGAUGGUUGCUAUGAUCACUCAGUUCCCCGGCUAAAAAUCUUCAAAAUGUGGAUCACUGCUUUUAUUCUCUUUUGUCCUCUUUAUUAGCGGUUUUCCCCUCACAUAUAGUUUAUUUCUCUAUGCAUGCAAUCUGCUCAUAAUUUUUUAUCAAAUUAUAUUCCAUACAAAUAGAAUGCCCCCCAUUCUUUUGGUUCCUCUGGAAAUGCUUUUAUUUGGAAUAUAACAUUUGGCAAUGCAUUAGAAAUACUAUUUAUACUUUUAUGUUUCCUGGUUCCCUGAAAGUAAAUGAUUCAUAUGGCAGCUAGCCCUGCCUGCUUCUGUCUCAAAAAACACUAAUCUACACUGGAAGUAACUAAACAUUGACAAUAAAAAUAUCCAACCUGA